rnacentral:rRNA from 1 species
UGGGGAAUAUUGCGCAAUGGGGGGAACCCUGACGCAGCCAUGCCGCGUGUGUGAAGAAGGCCUUUUGGUUGUAAAGCACUUUAAGUGGGGAGGAAAAGCUUAUGGUUAAUACCCAUAAGCCCUGACGUUACCCACAGAAUAAGCACCGGCUAACUCUGUGCCAGCAGCCGCGGUAAUACAGAGGGUGCAAGCGUUAAUCGGAAUUACUGGGCGUAAAGCGCGCGUAGGUGGUUAUUUAAGUCAGAUGUGAAAGCCCCGGGCUUAACCUGGGAACUGCAUCUGAUACUGGAUAACUAGAGUAGGUGAGAGGGGAGUAGAAUUCCAGGUGUAGCGGUGAAAUGCGUAGAGAUCUGGAGGAAUACCGAUGGCGAAGGCAGCUCCCUGGCAUCAUACUGACACUGAGGUGCGAAAGCGUGGGUAGCAAACAGGAUUAGAUACCCUGGUAGUCCACGCCGUAAACGAUGUCUACCAGUCGUUGGGUCUUUUAAAGACUUAGUGACGCAGUUAACGCAAUAAGUAGACCGCCUGGGGAGUACGGCCGCAAGGUUA